GGGAGGAACCAUCCGGGAGCGGGGCGGGGAGGGCAGAUUGAGGGAGCAGAAGAAGCAGGGUCAGGACCAGGACCGCGGGGGUUCGGAAGCCUGGCAACCGGCUGACCACAAGCACGAUGGGACCGGGAGGGGGGCUCUACAAGGGUAGCCUGGAGGCUGCAGUGGGGGCUGGCGGCUUGCACAGGAGCGACCCCCCCCCUUUUAGUGGACUCUGCGGCAGGCCGGCGGAUCCCGCCAAAUCCCACUUCCCCAACUCCCCAUCCCAGCCUUUGUCACCCCAGUUGUGAUCUGGGGCCUGGAAGCGGAGAUCCAGGGCACUGGGUAUUGCCAGACCGGAUCUCAGAACGCAUUCAGGAACCAGACGGCUCCGGACAGAGAUCUGCCCUUCGCCAACUCUGCUACUCCGGACCUCUUGGGAUCGCGCUCCUUGGGCCCUGGACCCCAUGGCGGAUAGGAAACUGGUGGUGGUUUUUGGAGCCACAGGGGCCCAAGGUGGCUCAGUGGCACGCACAUUGCUGGAAGAUGGGACAUUCAGGGUUCGAGUGGUAACAAGGAAUCCUGAGCAGAGAGCAGCCAAAGAGCUGAAGCUGCGGGGCGCUGAAGUCAUGCGAGGAGAUCAGGACGACGAGGCUAGCAUGGAGCUGGCACUGACGGGAGCUCAUGCCGCCUUCAUUGUGACCAACUACUGGGAGAAGUGCAGCCGGGAGCGGGAAGUCGAGCAGGGCAAGCUUCUAGCAGAUCUAGCCAAGCGCCUGGGCCUCCAUUAUGUUGUCUACAGUGGCCUGGAGAACAUCAGCAAGCUGACGGCGGGAAGGUUGGCAGCAGGCCACUUUGAUGGCAAAGGGGAGGUGGAGGAGUAUUUCCGAGACAUUGGUGUUCCCAUGACCAGUGUGCGGCUGCCUUGCUAUUUUGAGAACCUCCUUUCCUAUUUCCUGCCCCAGAAAGCUGCAGAUGGAGAGAGUUACUUGCUGGACUUGCCCAUGGGUGAUGUCCCCAUGGAUGGAAUGGCAGUGAGUGACCUGGGUCCCGUGGUGCUCAGCUUGCUGAAGAAGCCAGAAGAGUAUGUAGGGCGGAACAUCGGCCUCAGCACCUGCAGGCACACUGCAGAGGAGUAUGCUGCCCUGCUGACCAGACACACUGGCAAGACUGUACAUCAUGCAAAGACAACUCCUGAGCAAUAUGAGAAGCUUGGCUUCCCAGGGGCCCGAGACUUGGCCAACAUGUUCCGUUUCUAUGCCCUGAAACCCGACCGCAACAUUGAUCUAACCCUGCAACUCAACCCCAAGGCACAAACGCUGGACCAGUGGUUAGCACAGCACAGAGAGGACUUUGCUCAGCUGUGAUCCUGAAGCCCUCAGCCGGGGACUAAGAGAUAGUUUCCCAGAAGAAAAGGCCUCUUGUUUGUGGGAAGUGAGCUGGAGCGGCAGAUGCAUGAAAAUGGGCCUUGAUAGUAUGGAAGUACUGGUAGGCGGCACCAAGUAGGCACAAGGGCUCAUCUGCUAUCACCUCAGCCCCGAGAAGAGCGCUGAGCAGUGUAUACACACACACACACAGUCCACAGGGGAUCAGGUAAAGCAGAGUCUCAGCCAGCCACCAGCAGCCUUUGACACCGGCAGGCAGGGCCAGAGGCACUGAGGCCACCCAUGCAUUCGUUCUGAAUGAGGACAGAAGACUGAUGUAGAAGUCCUGGACCCUUGUCUUUUUCCUCUCUUCACCAGAACUCUGGCCAGGCACGUUCACCUGUACCUGUGUGACAUGUACACGUGCACACAACACAUCCAUACAGAAAGAACAAAUGGAACGUGGCAGAGCUGUGGACCACUGGAGAUGAGGUGAUGUUGCCUGUGUCUAAGACCAACAUUAUGGGUCAGCUUACCUCUAAGCCCUUCACAGGGAGCAACAAAGGCCCAGAAAGCCCAAACACCAGCUGAGAUUUCAUGACACGUCUGUGAACUUCCACCAGUGUAUGGGUUUGUCUAACCACUGGCACACUGUCUUUUUACUGUCCUUCCCUGACAUCAGACUCGGAGCAGGAAAAGGAGCAGUGAUCCCAUCAUGCAUUCUACCAGAGACUCUUGACUGAGGCAUCUCCUUGACAACUCACUGUGCCACACCUUAAAAUAUGGGGUAAACAGACAAGUUAUACUGUCUGUCUUGAGGCAACUUUUUUGAGACAGUUUCUCUGUGGAGCCCUGGCUAUUCUGGAACUUGCUCUGUAGCCCAGGCUGGCCUUAAGCUGAGAGAUCCACCUGCCUCUGCCUCCCAGUGCUGGGACUAAAGGUGUGAGCCGCCACCACCCUGACGAAGAACUUAUUUAGUGGGAAGGCCACACAAAGAAAGAGAGAGAGAGAGAGAGAAAGAAAAGCAAAACUUACAGAGCCCAGGCUGCAGAGAACAGAUGGAAAUAAGCAGCCUGGCUUAUUUCCGAGUCUGAGGUUAGGGUUCUGAGUGACAUUAAGAGGCAGAGCACGAGUGCAAACCCUGGGCUUCACCCCCAGCACCAAAAAGAUGAAAAGUUUAAGGAGACCAAUCAGGACAGGACUGGCCUCAGGAGGAAAUACCUAUGCUGAGGUCUGUGGGGAAGGGCAGGGGCCUUCCCAGCAGAGUAAAGGGAGAAGACAGUAACAAGCGUGGACUUCUGAGCCCACGGGGUCAGGAGACCCACAGGCUGUCUCUACGUGCUGCUCUACGAUGCUCCACCUAAGCCUGGGAAGGCCUGCCAGAAUCAAGGUCCAGAGUGGACACAGAGUACCAGCCAGCUCCUCACUAGAGUGGCAGGAUCAGGGCCAUGCGCUGCCCACCCCGGGUGUUUACUUAUCUGGUUCCCACCCCCUGGGCUGCUGUGAAGACACGGUCAACCCACUUGUGCCUAGCACUUCAAGUACCUUGUGUUUUGUCUGCCACACCAAGGCAAAACCCUGCUAGCCUGCACGUGCCCUUCAGUUUGGCUUGUGUUCCUCUGAAUGGUGGCCUCCACUGCAGAGCACAGUGGGAGCCUCCCAAGUUCCCGAUGAAGCUGAGUGGAGAGCCACACACGGUGCUCGUUAGGUGGUUCUGUGUGUGACAAAUUAUCUGCACUGCACACAAAACACCUUGUGUUACAAACCAUUUCACCAAAUGAGACAGUCAUGUCCACCUCUUCCGUUUCCCAUCUCCUGCCAUAGCUAAAUGUCUCGAGGCACAGGCUCUUCCUUUACAUACAACAGCAGACCUUGGACUGUAUUCUGUUUGGCCACAAACAGCGCAGGAAACCUCCUGUAAUCCCAGGAGGCAAGGUGAUGAGGACCCAAACAGAGGGGACAACCAGUCCUCCAGUUCUCAUGUAGCCUGUGGCCUUAAAUUCACUAUGUUGCUAAGACUGGCAUUGAAUUUCUGCCUCCAUCUCCCAUAUGAUGCUCCAGUUCCAGCUCAGAGGCUACAAAGUCUAAAAACAUGCCUCGGGAGCAGUGUGUAGAAAUAAGCCCACCUAGGCCUGGAGGUGAGACUUCAUUCUAUAGAUGUUGCCUAGCCACCUUUUAUCCUCCUAAGAGUCCUCAACGAGUCAGUAAUGAUGCCCUAGCCAAAGACCCAUCUACCUCUCCCAAGUCCCUUCCUAGCUCUGAGACCUGGCAGACUUCUUCAGAAAGAAACCCCUGAGAACAGUGUCUCCCCGACUACUGUUGCAGGCCAGUGUUCAGCUGCCCCCCCAUCUCUUCCCUACCAUCUCUUCCCUGCCCAGCCCAGUGAAUCCUUCCAUACCUCUCUCUGCUUAUCUGAAAAGCCAUUAAGGCUCUGCUGGAAGCCUGGACUAGUUAAAGUACACUAAGCAAAUGUGUGUGUGUGUGUGUGUUUUAAAGACAGAGUUUUGGUGUGUAACCCUAGCUGGUCUGGAAUUUGCUAAGUAGACCUGGCUAGCCUCAAGUUCACAGAUCUGCUUGCCUCUGCCUCUAAGUUCUGGGAUUAAAGGCACGUACCCCCAUACUCAGACAGCAAUAAGCAAAAACCAACCUGCGGAUACUGGGUCUCUCCUUCCACAUAUGGGUCCCAGGGAUUGAAUUCAGUUCAUUGGGCUUGUUGGCAAGCACUUUUACCCAGUCAUCCUGCCAGGUUCAGGAAGUUUAAUAUGGGGGACUGGUGAGACGCCUCAUCAGUUAGGAGCAUUUGCUGCUCUUGUAGAGGACCUGAGUUUGGUUCCUAGCGCCCACAUGGUGGCUACCAACCAUUCCUUGUCCUUUCACUUCCAGAAGACACGACACCCUCUUCUGUCUCUGGGCACUGCACGCAGGUGGUACGUAGAUAUGUGUGGACAAAACUCCCAUAUGCAUUUUUUUAAUGUAACAGGGAAAUGUAGCUAAGGGAACAGCUCAGUAGAACACUUGCCUAGCAUGCCUGAGGUCCUGGGUUCAAUACCAGGAACCACCUUUUAAAAAAAAGGAGUUCCAGCUUGGACUACAUAGCAAAACAAAGACUGAAAAACAGAGAAAUCAUGGAAGGACACAGUGAUCACAUGCACAUUUCUCAGCUGAGCUCUCUAAUCUACUAGGUUCAAGAGUUUGCACACAGAGGAACACUGUCUCCUGGCAAGGGCCUGUUCUGGAAAUGGGAGUAGGGGAUCUCCGGUCAGGGCACUAGGGCCACCUUGCUGGCAUCAGGAAGCUGAACUAGCAGACGCUGCUAGCUGACUUCUGUUGCCUCUGCUGGGCCACCUGUAGAAGCUAGUUUGAACUCUCAAAGAAGAAAUGACCACAGUUUUGGUUUUAAAUAUCUUUUGUAGUAGAUCAUCUUAUUUACAUUGAUACAGAAUCACUUUACAUUCUUAAAUCAGACACUAAGAAAUGCUUUACUUUUGUAAAUUAUAAAGGAAAAGAAAGAAACUACAGAGAAAGUGUUCUUUAUUAGCCUGUCUUACACCAGCUCCAAGACCUUGG